UACGAGGGGGGCAAGCGUUGUUCGGAAUUAUUGGGCGUAAAGGGUGCGUAGGCGGUUUGGUAAGUCUGAUGUGAAAUCUAUGGGCUCAACUCAUAGUCUGCAUCGGAAACUGCCGGGCUUGAGUAUGGGAGAGGUGAGUGGAAUUCCUGGUGUAGCGGUGAAAUGCGUAGAUAUCAGGAGGAACACCUGUGGCGAAAGCGGCUCACUGGACCAUAACUGACGCUGAUGCACGAAAGCCAGGGGAGCAAACGGG
rnacentral:rRNA from 1 species